AGAGUUUGAUCCUGGCUCAGGAUGANCGCNNNNUACAGGCUUGACACAUGCAAGUCGAGGGGCAUCACGUGAGGCAGCAAUGCAUCUGGGUGGCGACCGGCGAAUGGGUGAGUAACGAGUAUCCAACCUGGCCCAUACUCGGGCACAGCCCCGCGAAAGCGGGAUUAAUGCCCGAUGCGGCGUAUCUCCCGCAUGGGAAUUACGUCAAAGGUAUAAACUGGUAUGGGAUGGGGAUGCGUCCGAUUAGCUAGACGGCGGGGUAACGGCCCACCGUGGCGAUGAUCGGUAGGGGUUCUGAGAGGAAGGUCCCCCACAUUGGAACUGAGACACGGUCCAAACUCCUACGGGAGGCAGCAGUGAGGAAUAUUGGUCAAUGGCCGUAAGGCUGAACCAGCCAAGUAGCGUGAGGGAUGACCGCCCUAUGGGUCGUAAACCUCUUUUGCACGGGAAUAACCGCACCCACGCGUGGGUGCCUGCAUGUACCGUGCGAAUAAGCAUCGGCUAACUCCGUGCCAGCAGCCGCGGUAAUACGGAGGAUGCGAGCGUUAUCCGGAUUUAUUGGGUUUAAAGGGAGCGCAGGCGGCCGUUUAGGCCAGCCGUGAAAUUUCCGCGCUUAACGCGGUCCUUGCGGUUGGAACCGGAUGGCUUGAGUGGGGUACAGGAAGGCGGAAUUCGUGGUGUAGCGGUGAAAUGCUUAGAUAUCACGAAGAACUCCGAUUGCGAAGGCAGCUUUCCGGACCUUUACUGACGCUCAUGCUCGAAAGCGCGGGAAUCAAACAGGAUUAGAUACNCUGGUAGUCCGCGCCGUAAACGAUGGACACUCGCUGUCGGCGACAGACGGUCGGCGGCCAAGCGAAAGCGUUAAGUGUCCCACCUGGGGGAGUACGCCGGCAACGGUGAAACUCAAAGGAAUUGACGGGGGCCCGCACAAGCGGAGGAACAUGUGGUUUAAUUCGAUGAUACGCGAGGAACCUUACCCGGGCUUGAAUUGCAUAUGAGUCGCGGAGAGAUCCGUGAGCCGCAAGGCAUAUGUGAAGGUGCUGCAUGGUUGUCGUCAGCUCGUGCCGUGAGGUGUCGGCUUAAGUGCCAUAACGAGCGCAACCCCUGUCCCCAGUUGCCAUCGGGUAAUGCCGGGCACUCUGCGGAGACUGCCGUCGUAAGAUGUGAGGAAGGCGGGGAUGACGUCAAAUCAGCACGGCCCUUACGUCCGGGGCUACACACGUGUUACAAUGGGGGGCACAGAAGGCGGCGACCGGGCAACCGGGAGCGAAUCCCAAAAUCCCCUCCCAGUUCGGAUUGGGGUCUGCAACCCGACCCCAUGAAGCUGGAUUCGCUAGUAAUCGCGCAUCAGCCAUGGCGCGGUGAAUACGUUCCCGGGCCUUGUACACACCGCCCGUCAAGCCAUGAAAGCCGGGAGUGCCUGAAGUGCGUGCCCGCGAGGAGCGCCCUAGGGUAAGACCGGUGAUUGGGGCUAAGUCGUAACAAGGUAGCCG
rnacentral:rRNA from 1 species